rnacentral:rRNA from 1 species
CCUACGGGAGGCAGCAGUGAGGAAUAUUGGUCAAUGGACGAGAGUCUGAACCAGCCAAGUAGCGUGAAGGAUGACUGCCCUAUGGGUUGUAAACUUCUUUUAUAUGGGAAUAAAAUGUUCCACGUGUGGGAUUUUGUAUGUACCAUAUGAAUAAGGAUCGGCUAACUCCGUGCCAGCAGCCGCGGUAAUACGGAGGAUCCGAGCGUUAUCCGGAUUUAUUGGGUUUAAAGGGAGCGCAGGUGGAUUGUUAAGUCAGUUGUGAAAGUUUGCGGCUCAACCGUAAAAUUGCAGUUGAAACUGGCAGUCUUGAGUACAGUAGAGGUGGGCGGAAUUCGUGGUGUAGCGGUGAAAUGCUUAGAUAUCACGAAGAACUCCGAUUGCGAAGGCAGUUCACUGGACUGCAACUGACACUGAGGCUCGAAAGUGUGGGUAUCAAACAGGAUGAGAUACCCGGGUAGUC